CAGCAGCCGCGGUAAUACGGAGGGUGCAAGCGUUAAUCGGAAUUACUGGGCGUAAAGCGCACGCAGGCGGUUUGUUAAGUCAGAUGUGAAAUCCCCGAGCUUAACUUGGGAACUGCAUUUGAAACUGGCAAGCUAGAGUCUUGUAGAGGGGGGUAGAAUUCCAGGUGUAGCGGUGAAAUGCGUAGAGAUCUGGAGGAAUACCGGUGGCGAAGGCGGCCCCCUGGACAAGGACUGACGCUCAGGUGCGAAAGCGUGGGGAGCAAACAGGAUUAGAUACCCGAGUAGUCCCUGUCUCUUAUAC
rnacentral:rRNA from 1 species